rnacentral:rRNA from 1 species
CGGGACGGGUGAGUAACACGUGGAUAAUCUGCCCUGCACAGGGGGACAACAGCUAGAAAUGGCUGCUAAUACCGCAUAAGCCUACAGCCUCGCAUGAGGGAGUAGGAAAAGAAAUUCGGUGCAGGAUGAGUCCGCGUCUGAUUAGCUAGUUGGAGGGGUAAAAGCCCACCAAGGCAACGAUCAGUAGCCGGCCUGAGAGGGCGACCGGCCACAUUGGGACUGAGACACGGCCCAAACUCCUACGGAAGGCAGCAG